UGUCGGGUGGUGCAACGGCAGCAUUCCAGGUUCUGGCCCUGGAGGUGCAGGUUCAAAUCCUGCCCCGAUAA
rnacentral:tRNA from 1 species